AAUACAGCGCGACAGAAACAAAGACUUAAGCGAGGUACACAGGAUGAGCGCUCGUCCUGUGUGCCUCGCUUGAGUCUUUGUUUCUGUCGCGCUGUAUU
rnacentral:pre_miRNA from 1 species